UACGAAGGGGGCUAGCGUUGCUCGGAAUCACUGGGCGUAAAGCGCACGUAGGCGGAUUGCUAAGUCAGGGGUGAAAUCCUGGAGCUCAACUCCAGAACUGCCUUUGAUACUGGCGAUCUUGAGUCCGGGAGAGGUGAGUGGAACUGCGAGUGUAGGGGUGAAAUUCGUAGAUAUUCGCAAGAACAUCAGUGGCGAAGGCGGCUCACGUGGCCCGGUACUGACGCUGAGGUGCGAAAGCGUGGGGAGCAAACAGG
rnacentral:rRNA from 1 species